rnacentral:rRNA from 1 species
UACGUAGGCAGCGAGCGUUGUUCGGAGUUACUGGGCGCAAAGCGUGCGUAGGCGGUCUUGUAAGUUUGGUGUGAAAUCUCCCGGCUUAACCGGGAGGGUGCGCCGAAGACUGCAAGGCUGGAGUAUGGGAGAGGUAGGCGGAAUUCCUGGUGUAGCGGUGAAAUGCGUAGAUAUCAGGAGGAACACCAGUGGUGUAGACGGCUUACUGGACCAUGACUGACGCUGAGGCACGAAAGCGUGGGUAGCAAACAGG